GACGAACGCUGGCGGCGUGCUUAACACAUGCAAGUCGAACGGAAAGGCCCUGCUUUUGUGGGGUGCUCGAGUGGCGAACGGGUGAGUAACACGUGAGUAACCUGCCCUUGACUUUGGGAUAACUUCAGGAAACUGGGGCUAAUACCGGAUAGGAGCUCCUGCUGCAUGGUGGGGGUUGGAAAGUUUCGGCGGUUGGGGAUGGACUCGCGGCUUAUCAGCUUGUUGGUGGGGUAGUGGCUUACCAAGGCUUUGACGGGUAGCCGGCCUGAGAGGGUGACCGGCCACAUUGGGACUGAGAUACGGCCCAGACUCCUACGGGAGGCAGCGGUGGGGAAUAUUGCACAAUGGGCGGAAGCCUGAUGCAGCAACGCCGCGUGCGUGAUGACGGCCUUCGGGUUGUAAACCGCUUUCGCCUGUGACGAAGCGUGAGUGACGGUAAUGGGUAAAGAAGCACCGGCUAACUACGUG
rnacentral:rRNA from 1 species